UAAGAUAUGGUCGGGCUCCCAGGGAGACCUGGGAGAUGAGAUUACGCGCAUGAGAUGCGGUUGUCCUUAACUGUUCCGUAGGUGAACCUGCGGAAGGAUCAUUACCAAGAGCGGGUCCCCUCGUGGGAUCAACGCCCUUUCUCCUGCCCUUACCACCUGAAAUCCUUCGGCGGGCGCCUCGCGGCCCCGCCGGGGGCCUUUUUCCGAAUAUUCUCGCCGGGAUGCCUGUCGGAGUGUAUUGCGAAAUAAAUCAAAACUUUCAACAACGGAUCUCUUGGUUCUGGCAACGAUGAAGAACGCAGCAAAAUGCGAUAAUUAAUGUGAAUUGCAGAUUUUAGUGAAUCAUCGAGUUUUUGAACGCACAUUGCGCCCCUUGGUAUUCCGGGGGGCAUGCCUGUCUGAGCGUCGUUUCGACCAUCGAGCCCAGCUCGGUUUUGGGGGCUUCAUCCUGCGCUGGAUGCCCCCGUAAGUCGUUGGCGGCUGCCGUUCGGCCACCUGGCGUAGCAGAGCUUUUCGCCUCGGUGUCCGCGGUCGCCUGCCGCAGGCCCUUCGGGGUCUGCGCACCCCUGGACGCUGACUCAGAUCAGGUAGGAUACCCGCUG
rnacentral:rRNA from 1 species